rnacentral:rRNA from 1 species
AUUGAACGCUGGCGGCAGGCCUAACACAUGCAAGUCGAGCGAGCGGCGGACGGGUGAGUAAUGUAUGGGGACUGCCCGAUAGAGGGGGAAAACUAGUGGAAACGGCGUCUAAUACCGCAUACUAUCGGAUAACCAAUCGGGGAUUAGCUAGUAGGUGGGGUAAAGGCUCACCUAGGAGACGAUCUCUCGCUGGUCUGAGAGGAAGAUCAGCCACACUGGGACGGAGACACGGCCCAGACUCCUACGGAGGCAGCAGUGGGGAAGAUUGCACAAUGGGCGCAAGCCUGAUGCAGCCAUGCCGCGUGUAUGAAGAAGGCCUUAGGGUUGUAAAGUACUUUCAGCGGGGAGGCGUUACCCGCAGAAGAAGCACCGGCUAACUCCGUGCCAGCAGCCGCGGUAAUUC